GGACGAACGCUGGCGGCGUGCUUAACACAUGCAAGUCGAGCGGUAAGGCCCUUUCGGGGGUACACGAGCGGCGAACGGGUGAGUAACACGUGGGUGACCUGCCCUCAGCUCUGGGAUAAGCCUGGGAAACUGGGUCUAAUACUGGAUAUGACUCCACGGUGCAUGUCGUGGGGUGGAAAGCCUUGUGCGGCUGAGGAUGGGCCCGCGGCCUAUCAG
rnacentral:rRNA from 1 species